rnacentral:rRNA from 1 species
UACGAAGGGGCUAGCGUUGCUCGGAAUUACUGGGCGUAAAGCGCACGUUAGGCGGCUCUUUAAGUCGGAGGUGAAAUCCUGGAGCUCAACUCCAGAACUGCCUUCGAGUACUGAAGAGCUCGAGUCCGGGAGAGGUGAGUGGAACUGCGAGUGUAGAGGUGAAAUUCGUAGAUAUUCGCAAGAACACCAGUGGCGAAGGCGGCUCACUGGCCCGGUACGUGACGCUGAGGUGGCGAAAGCGUGGGAGCAAACACGG